UACGUAGGGUGCAAGCGUUAAUCGGAAUUACUGGGCGUAAAGCGUGCGCAGGCGGUUUUGUAAGUCUGUCGUGAAAGCCCCGGGCUCAACCUGGGAAUUGCGAUGGAGACUGCAAGGCUUGAAUCUGGCAGAGGGGGGUAGAAUUCCACGUGUAGCAGUGAAAUGCGUAGAGAUGUGGACGAACACCGAUGGCGAAGGCAGCCCCCUGGGUCAAGAUUGACGCUCAUGCACGAAAGCGUGGGGAGCAAACAGG
rnacentral:rRNA from 1 species